UACGUAGGGUGCAAGCGUUGUCCGGAAUUAUUGGGCGUAAAGAGCUCGUAGGCGGUCUGUCGCGUCGGAUGUGAAAGCCCGGGGCUCAACCCCGGGUCGGCCGUGCGAACUGUCGAGCUGGAGCACUGUAGAGGCAGGUGGAAUUCCGGGUGUAGCGGUGGAAUGCGUAGAGAUCCGGAAGAACACCGGUGGCGAAGGCGGCCUGCUGGGCAGUGGCUGACGCUGAGGCGCGACAGCGUGGGGAGCAAACAGG
rnacentral:rRNA from 1 species